rnacentral:rRNA from 1 species
UACGUAGGGGGCAAGCGUUGUCCGGAUUUAUUGGGCGUAAAGAGCGUGUAGGCGGCCAGGCAGGUCCGCUGUGAAAACUCGAGGCUCAACCUCGAGAGGUCGGUGGAAACCGUCUGGCUAGAGUCCGGAAGAGGAGAGUGGAAUUCCCGGUGUAGCGGUGAAAUGCGCAGAUAUCGGGAAGAACACCCGUGGCGAAGGCGGCUCUCUGGGACGGUACUGGACGCUGAGACGCGAAAGCGUGGGGAGCGAACGAGGAUUGAUGAA